UCUUUCUAAGCUGCUCAAGUCACGUCGGAGUUCAUUGACGGUAACUUUGUUGGCUUAAACAUCACAUUUAGGUUUAGCGAUGCGAGACGUCACAAGCGGGCUAACGUUGAGCCAAACAGCAGCUUCGAGGCACGGGCGGAAAUGAGAAGGAGUUUGGCCCCCAGUCAGGUCGCCAAACGGAAGCAAGGGGAGGAUGAUCAUCGAGACGAAAUAUAGUAUAUUAACCACGAGCGGUUCUCGAGAGAAGAUGAAUGGAGAAAAUUGGGACAGUGAUGAAGAAGUCCAAGUUCCAUGGCCACUCAACAAAGCAGGAGGAAGGAAGCAGUCACAAACCAAAUACGUGGCAAGAAUUCUGAGAUUUGGUGAAGACACACGUGAACUGACGCCAUAUUUGAAAGCCGCUCAGGAUGGCAAGGAUGUACCCCUUACUGGUGAUUUGGAAUAUGGCAGAGGCAAGAGAAACAAACAGCCAAAGUCUUGGUCAUCAGACAGUGAGAGCAAGGAUGAAGGUGUUGAG